GGAUUCAAGCAAAGAAAAAAAGCCUCCUCAGCAAAUAACAGUUAAAGAAUCUUCGUCACAAUACAAGGUUUUUUCCCGACCAACUGCACGUGUAAAACCUAGACCCAUUUCAUCUCCUUCGAUGGGAAAGUAUCGCUUGUUUGAAGGGUUGGAAGAAGAAAAU
rnacentral:lncRNA from 1 species